rnacentral:RNase_P_RNA from 1 species
CGAAUUCGCUCGUCGAAUUCGAGGAAAGUCCGGGCUUCCCAAAGACCAAACUUGCUGGGUAAUUCCCAGUGCGAGCGAUCGUGAGGAUAGUGCCACAGAAAAAUACCGCCAGAAUUAGGUUUUAGGCUUUAGGUGUUAGGUAUUAGGUUUUAGAUGUUAGGGAGAAUUCCCGAUUUCUUGUUCCUUAAAGCCUAAAGCCUAAAGCCUAACUCCUAGAUUGGUAAGGGUGCAAAGGUGCGGUAAGAGCGCACCAGCAGUAUCGAGAGGUACUGGCUCGGUAAACCCCGGUUGGAAGCAAGGCAGGAGCAAAG